UACGAAGGGGGCUAGCGUUGCUCGGAAUCACUGGGCGUAAAGGGUGCGUAGGCGGUUUGGUAAGUCGGGUGUGAAAUCUCCACGCUCAACGUGGAGGGCCACCCGAUACUGCCAUGACUGGAGUCCGGUAGGGGAGUGUGGAAUUCCUGGUGUAGCGGUGAAAUGCGUAGAUAUCAGGAGGAACACCGGUGGUGUAAACGGCUUCUGGACCGUAACUGACGCUGAAGGCACGAAAGCGUGGGUAGCAAACAGG
rnacentral:rRNA from 1 species